ACCAAUCUAUUGACCUAGGGCAAAGUGCGAGCUGUUAUUUUCUGCGUGUUUUUCACUUUGCAAAUUUUCCAUAGCAAACAUGGUCCAAUUGCCCUGAAACAUUUUGGUGAUUUUUUCUGGACCAAAAGAAGACCAACGAGCAUCGGAAGAAGGUCGGAGGCCUCACGAGGAUCCCACAAGCUAAGAGGGCACGACUUGGGGGGCUGAUAGCUGGUGCGUCCCUCGUGGCCCUCUCGACUCUCUUCUUUGGCUUAUAAAUUCUCAUCUACCCUAAAAACACCAUA
rnacentral:lncRNA from 1 species